rnacentral:lncRNA from 1 species
GGACAUUCUGCAAAAAACUCUAUGACUUCCGGCUUGUUCUGCUUGAUAGAGAAGAGAGGAUAACAGAAUUGCCACUGGACAAUGGUGUCCGAGCUUUGUUGAGGGGCUGCACCAAACUUCGGAGGUUUGCUCUGUACUUGAGACCAGGAGGGCUCUCAGAUGCAGGUCUCGGCUACAUUGGACAGUGCAGUGGAAACAUCCAAUACAUGCUUCUCGGUAAUGUUGGGGAAACUGAUGAUGGAUUGUUCAGUUUCGCAUUGGGAUGCGUAAACCUGCGGAAGCUUGAACUCAGGAGUUGUUGCUUCAGCGAGCGAGCUCUGGCCCUCGCCAUACUACGCAUGCCUUCCCUGAGGUACGUAUGGGUUCAGGGCUACAAAGCGUCUCAAACCGGCCGAGACCUCAUGCUCAUGGCGAGGCCCUUCUGGAACAUAGAGUUUACACCUCCCAGUUCCGAGAACGCAGGUCGGUUGAUGGAAGAUGGGGAACCUU